rnacentral:rRNA from 1 species
UCCAGAGCCGUAUCUCCCUGCGGUUCUCGCCUGGUUUCUCACUGAAGCUAAGCAGGGUUGAACCUGGCCACUAUCUGGAUGGGAGACCUCCUGGGGAAAACAAAGGUUUCUGCUGGAG